AUAAAAGGGGCCGAAAAUUCUCCUUCGACACAGUUUUUGAACAUCUUCCUACACCAUGCUUCAACGAUUAAAGGCCGUUGCUUUCGUCGCCUUUUGGGCCAGCACUCUCAUUAUAAUGGCCACAGGUACGCGCAGAGCCUACGACAUUUAACGACUAUAUUUUUCAGAAGGACUGUGUCAAAGAGAUGACCAAACAUCACAUUCACUGGAAAUAGUUCUAGAUAGCACUUUGUAAU